UACGUAGGUGGCAAGCGUUAUCCGGAAUUAUUGGGCGUAAAGCGCGCGCAGGCGGUUUCUUAAGUCUGAUGUGAAAGCCCGGGGCUUAACCCCGGAAGUGCAUUGGAUACUGGGAAACUAGAGGGUGUAAGAGGAGAGUGGAAUUCAUGGUGUAGGGGUGAAAUCCGUGAGAUAUCAUGAGGAACAUCAGUGGCGAAGGCGGCUCUCUGGUACAUUUCUGACGCUCAGACGCGAAAGCAUGGGGAGCAAACAGG
rnacentral:rRNA from 1 species